ensembl:lncRNA
AGGAAGUGGAAAGAGAGCGACACUCGUGGCUGGAAAGGUUGGAAUAGUGUAUGUCCCAGCCCAGCCUAAAACUUUCUUGGAAGAGGUCCUUGUAAAUGAGCAACCUUCAUCCGACAGGGUGUUUUUCAGCGCAGUUUCUACUGAGAAAGAGCACAGCUCUCAUCUGUUUUGCUACUGAGCCAUCGCUUGAGAGACUGGACCAGCAGAAAGGGCUUUUCGUGGCCCUGUGAAGACUGAUGAAAUGAGAAGGAUGAAGACCCAAACCGCUGUCCAUCUGAUGUGGCUUCUGAUUUUAGAGCUGCAGUUUGCUUCAUUUACCAAAGGCCUGAAUCAAUUUAUAGUUCCUCAGAAUCUGACCUCGGAGACCGGAAAAACUGUCACCUUUGAAUGUGGUGUCGGUGGAUUGAAUGGGCAAAAAAUCUGGUUUUACAUUAUGGGUCCAAAGGUCAAUGAUUCUAUGGCAUGUCCAGGAGACAAAACCAAAUACUUACCUGCUCAGUCAAUGAAAUCUUACUGUUAUACAAAAUCUAGUGGAGACGUAGCUGCUUGGGAAGUCGCAGGAACAUCAGAAGAUGAUAAUGGCACUAUUUUUUUGUGCAAGGUCAAUGGUUUAGAUGACAAAAUCGGACACCUUUAUGUGUACGCGAAUGAUUCUUACUAUGCAAAGCUCAUUGGAUACGUGAUUGGAGGAUUUUUAGCUGCCCUCAUUACCAUAGUUGUGGCUUAUGUCCUGUUGAAAAGAUCAGAGAAAGUACAGCAUUGCUUCAGGUCGGUGGGAGGAAUCCAAGAUGACAUGCAAUCGGCACAAUCUAAGCAAUAUUGAAACCCCUCUCAUGCUCCUUAUGAUCUGAUAAUUAUAAUUAUAAUAUAGCACACACACCAUAAUAUAAUAUAUGUAAUAUACAGCAUA